AUUGUAGUCAUUAUGCCUGUCCGCAUUCCUCCUAAACUUGUUGGGGAAAAGAGUGCAUUUGUUGAUGUAGGCGAAAGUUCAAACUUGUGCGAAAGCUAGAACAACCGUAGAAGAUACGCUUUCACACGCAGUCAUCUGUGCGAUUUUGAUGACAUGUAACGGAAUAUUAUGCCUGGAGGUGGAAAAUAAUCGUUCUCAAAAAUCAGUCGAGCAACGGAGCUACGUGCCUCCAAAUCCAGCCCCUGAGGAACACGACAGUUUCGAGAUCGUAACCUGGACGCCCGCUACAUCCCAGCAGCAAAAUGAAGUGCGAACUCUGCGUUUUUCUCAUCUUCCUGGUCAUCGUCCCAUGCAGGAUGCGCAAGGCGGAAUGCUCGUUACCUAAGGAUAUUGGAAACUGCCAUGUUGGAUGGCAGCUGUCUUGGCAGUGGUACUUCGACCCGGGCAUGGCAGCCUGUCGACCCUUUCUAUAUGGAGGUUGUGGUGGAAACGCGAACAGAUUUGAAUCGUGCGAGCUGUGUAACAGCGCUUGUGAAACUAGCGUCUGUGCCAAGGAGAAGCCUGGACCUAGUCCAUUUUCCAGGAGCGGGAAGCACCACAAGAAGGCACGGUUUCACCGACGACGUUAUCGAGACCAUGACAGCGCGGAAUGAGGGGACGGCAAAUAAAAAAGACGCUCCUGAUUCUGCUGCUUCAACCAACGGCAGCAAUGGGAGCCCCAUCGACCACAGAUGCGCAGCAGAUAUGGUUUCUGAAUAUCGACGGUGCAACUCGUGAAUCAACCAUCAACCUAUUGGCCUUGGGAAUCAUCUCUGGCGGCACCGGAACUGCCUCAGCCCUUCCCCCAGAAGUCCUCAAUGCGCCUCCAGCGUCAGCACCUGUGCCUGGUAUAAAGCUGGCCUGCAACGGGUGGCUCGGCAGUGGGCACGGCAGCAGCGUCAGAAUGCCGCCUAACAAUCCGCUCCUAUUUUGUAUCCUGAUGAGAAAACAUUUUGGGAAUUGCUUCCGCAGUAAUGAUGUAUUCCUUAUCUUGCCGCCGUGCCCACGGCUCCUGUGCGACUUGGUUGGCAAUUCCUGCGCUUCUGUGUGGUACUUGAUCCUUCUGGGUGGCGAUGUCGAGUCCAACCCGGGACCCACACUUGAAGAACUGGCCGCGCAACUGAAGCUUAUCGGGGGGGAAAUAAAAAAUAGCUGAGCAGAGACGAAUGAAAAACUCAAUGAGCUUGAUAAAAAAACCAGAGAAAAUUGCUAGCCUUGAGACUAAAGCGCCUGACUGUGUCAGCAGAGUAGCUGAACUUGAAUGUAGUAUGGAAAUUAUCGCCAAAGAACUAGAUGCCCUUGAAAAUUGAAGCCGCCGUUCUAAACUGAUAGUAUAUGGUUUCGAGGAACAAGAAAACGAGUCGACUCAAGUACUCGAAACAUCUGUAGUUAAGGAAAUUUUUGAGGAUGUACUUGCCAUAACGAUAUUGGGAGUCGAACGCAUUCACCGUCUUGGUAGGGCAAAGCAGGGCGAUGAGCAAAAAACCAGGCCUAUCAUAAUGAAGCUUGUUGACUACCAAGACAAAGCCAACAUUAUGAAAAACUGCUCAAAAUUGAAAGGCUCCACAAUUUCGGCAGGUGAGGAUUUUUCCCAGCCUAUCCAAGAAAUUAGAACGAAGCUGUGGGCUCACACGAAAGAAAAUCGUGAUCGACAGGAAGAAGUACGCCUUGUGUAUGAUAAGGUUAAAGGUAUAGGGAAGGCUCUUUUGUUGGGACAAAAGCAGCAAUAAAAUGAUAGUAGUAACAACAAACGCCAAGCAAAAGGAAAUGAAAAAAGAUGUACCAAGCGAACAAUGUAUCCCGAGAAGCCGAAGUCAGCAACAAUAAUCAACAUAAAUGCUCGCAGUCUCGUUAACGAAGUAGAUCAGCUACAAGCAAUACUCCUGGCACAUGCAGCUGAUUCCGUCAGUAUCACGGAAACGUGCCGGCAUUCCGGUAUUUCUGAUAAGGAAGAUGUACCCCCAGGAUAUGCGAUAGUGCGCAAAGACAGGGAAUCACGUGUUGGGGGUUUCGCGCUUCUUUUUAAGGAAAGGAUCCACUUUUCUACUAUGCCCGAUGUAAAAUAUACUGAAGGUCUGUGGUGCAACGUCCAUCUUCAUGAUACGACCGCGAAAGUGGGUGUUUUGUACAAGCCCCGGAAUUCUGAAAGUGUGUGCCUUGAAUCUUUACUUGACUAUAUGCAAUCGCACGUGCAUGGGGGCUCGAUUGUACUUUCUGGUGAUUUUAACCUUCUCGAGAUUGUGUGGUGUUCCCUUGUCCCUGAAACAAAACUCAAAGCAUCCUACUGGACAUUAAGCUUGGCCUCAAUCUUGAUCAGCCUGUUUCUGCCCCAACUCAUGUACAGGGAACGUCAUCCUCAAUCUUGGACCUUGUCUUUGUCAGUAAGAGUCUUCCUAUAAACGAAUAGCCAGUAGACAUACUUGAUGGACUAUCAGAUCACAAAAUGGUCUUAUGCUCAUUGCCAUUCACUAGCCCACCUACAUUACGUGGCCAAUUAAAGCAAAUACCCGCCUCUAACAAAGCCAAUGAUGACGCUAUAAUGACGUACCUUGCACACGAGUACCCUGAAUUUCAUGAUUUUUUUACCGAUGAACGGUAUAGUAUCGAUGUGGUUUGGCUAACAUUCAAGUUUCAUGUCAUGCAUUGUAUGCGUAAUUUCGUCCCAACUGUGUACAAACCAACUCACAAAUGCAAUCCGUGGAUCACGCGUGAAAUAACUCAUACUAAACGUAAAAUUAAGAGGUUACGAAAAACUAGGAAGCAACGGAAUGUUUCAGGCUACCGUUCUCAAGUAAAUUCCCUUACUAAAUUACUUAAGGAACAAGUGCGUAACGCUAAAGAGAAAUUCUGUGGCUCUACAUUGCACAAGUUUAUUAAGAACGCACCUCACAAAUUCUGUCAGUAUAUGAAUGCAAACCUGACUAAUCCAGCUUCACCAGAUGCGCUAGAUCAGGCUAGAGCCCAUGAUUUUAGCGACUAUUUUCGUUCGGUUUUCACAACUGAUAAUGGUACUGCGAAAAUAAAUCCUGUCUUUUACAAUCAGGAUAAUCGAUUGCUAGGCACGCCUACUUUAUCGGAGGCCGGUAUCCUUUCACUCCUAUUAGAAAUCAAUGAAAAUAAGAGUAGCGGUUCAGACGCAUUUCCCAACAGCUUUUUGAAACGGUAUGCGGAGCCAGUCAGCAAGUAUGUUUAUCUCAUAUAUUCCAAAUCUUUGAAAGACUGUUGCCUUCCUGCUGAAUGAAAAAUUGCUGAAAUUACUCCCGUACUCAAAUCAGGUUGUGCAGCGUCUCCUUCUAAUUACCGGCCUAUUUCUAUCACUUGCACUUGCAGCAAAAUUGUAGAACACAUUGUAUUAAAAUUUUUUGGAAGUUUUAUUGAGUCGAACAACGUCCGCCCCAUGAAUCAGCAUGUCCUUAUAUCUGGAUUAUCCACUUUUACACAGCUUGUCGAAACACUGCAUGACCUGGCCCUCGGAAUUAAUGAGCGCAUUCAAACUGACGUCAUUUUUCUCGAUUUGUCGAAGCCUUUUGUCCGCGUCUCGCACACUAAACUACUCCUUAAACUUAAUUAGAUAUUAUGUGAUGGCUCACUUUACCAAUGCAUUAAAAAUUUCUUAACUGGCCGCUACCAAUUUGUACAUUACCGCUCUCACUCCUUCAAUCUUGCUCCAGUGUUAUCAGGCGUUCCCCGGCGAUGUGUAUUAGCGCCAGUUUUGUUUUUAAUAUUUAUAAAUGACAUAACUAACUAUGCUGACGUGAAACUCAGGCUCUUUGCUGAUGACUGCAUGCUCUAUAGUGAAGUACGACACCGCGAUGACCAGGUGAAAUGAAAUAAUGCCUUAAAUCAAAAAUCUCAGUGGUGUGUAGAUUCGCAAAUGACAACUAACAUUGAUAAAACCGUUUUUAUGUCCAUUGCAAAUAAAGCGUCUAAGCUUGAUUUUCCAUACCAUUUUAACGAUGUGCCACAUCGUAGUGUAAACCAGUGUAAAGACCUUUGUCUCAUUAUAUCGUCUAAUCCCAGCUGGAAAGAGCACGUGCGUCAAGUGUCAAAUAAAGCAUUAAACAAACUGUUUUUCAUUAAGCGGGCCUUGUCAUAUUCUACACAUAAAACAAAGCUUCUUGCAUACGUCACUUUUGUCCACCCAGUCUUAGAAUACGCCAAUACUGUGUGGUUCCCUCACACUGCGAACGAUAUUGCCAUUUUCGAAAGGGUGCAGCGGAAAGCGGUACGUUUUAUCUUUAACAGAUACGGACGCGUUGACUCGCCUACGGCUCUGUUACAGCGAGGUGGUCUAGCUACCCUUGAAAGUCGCGCAAAGCUAUUUCAGCUCCAAAAUUUGUAUGCCAACUAUUGCAUAAAUCAUUCCGUCUAAGCCCUGGCUCUUACAUGAAAUUUCGUGAUACUAGUCAGGCCAGAAGACGCCAUGCAUGGGAACUUGUACAAUAUACAUUUAUUAUUAAUACGUUGCGCUAUUCUUUCUUCCCACACUCAAUUCUUGAAUGAAAUACACCGGAUGUAGUCGCAAAACAGCAGCAACACUAGCAAAGUUUAUGGAUUUAAUUGCGCAUGAUGUAUCAGCCUAAAAGUUGUCAAUAUAUGUAACUAAUUGCUUACGCCAUCCAAUCCAUCCCGAUUUAGUUUGGGAUAGAAAAGCACUUGCCCGCACUUUUUGUUCUCUACAUUUUGUAUUUGAAUGGUACCUUCUACCCUGCAUUUGUCUUCUAGUUUUCCUGCUGGUUGAUGUACAUUGGCUUCAUUGUGUGUAUCUUUAUGUAUGAAUGUACUACUGCUAUCCUUGAUUAGUCUACAAUCAUUGUGUGAUCUUUCUUUAUAGAGUGUUUUAGUAGUGUUCAUUGAUGCGACUUAUUGAUCACCCCUGUAAUAAUCCCCAUGGGCGACUGACAGUAUUCUAUAAAUAAUUAAAUGAAUAAAUAAUACCUUUUUGUAAAAAGCUGCGAUCGCGUCGAUGUAAAAAUGCUUGUAAAAAUGUCUUUUAAAAGAUGAUCAUUUAUUUUGCAAUUUUCCCAAACAAAUGUUUAAUUUUCAUCUUUUGUUUUUCGUCACGAUAUGUUACGAGACAGUGUUCACUGAAUGAUACUGGUUGAAUUAAUACCUGCUAUGCAACCGCGUGUGGCUUUGACCUUGAAAAUGGCUAAAGCGUAGUCACACACACACAACAUUCACAGACGUCUGCCAAACAAUGCUGACUGAUGAGAGUAUAUAAGGAAAGAACACUGACAUGCCUAAAAGGGUCGAGCCUGUUUAAUGUUUGGCAUGGAUACGCAAUUAGAGUCACCAAUGAUAAUUACAAAUAUUUCCGUAGCACAUUAGGUACUGAUAAUUUCAAAAAUGUACAUUAGGCACCAACUGCAAUAAAGUAUUAUAACAUCACAAAGAAUGAAACGGCCGGAAUUACAUGCGGUGAAUUCUUUUAGAACUGCACCCUAUGUCCUAGGUAUCAUGAAAGCAUUCCCUGCCGACUUACACACGGCGCCAAGUAAACACUGAAACUGGAAAACAUAUGUGAUACGAGUAAAAUACUGUCGUACGAGUAACCAUUCCGUUUAAAAUAUUUUCCCUGUAGAAAAACAACAAAAGUUAUUUUGUUGUUUAUUCUUUCAUUCUUCGUGGCCCCUAUCAACCAGCGAUUCCGGUGCAAGACUUAGCAAGACUCUGUAGAGCAGCUUUUAUAUCGUGCAGGAUCGCGGUGCUCAUUUAAACGCGGCGGUUUCAUCCGCGUGUAUUUAUUGCGUGUUUGUUCAAAGUGUAGCGUAUACUUUGCUACAAAUGUUGCUCGACAUAGCCCACGACAUUCAUUGGCGAAAGGUGUGGGUGCAGGUUUUUUUGUUAACCUUCCACUUCACGCUGCGGCAUCCGACGCGCCCUGUCUCGUCGUGACGGUAAGUGCGGAAAGCUCCGCGAAGAAACGUCGCGCUGCGUUCGUUCACUCUUCGUAACAAAGUCUCUGACUGUCGGACGGGAAGCAAAAUUAGUAAGUCGAGUGUUUUCUAAAUUAUAACUUUUCCAUACUAAUACUUGGUGUUACACGGAAUUCCUAAUGAUUCUGCGGAAAGCUUUCGCAUAUGUUGCUGUACAUUACGACUGUGUGCUGCAGCCAUAGUAUUUCUCAUCUACUGAGAGAUAGGUCUUGCUUGGUCAAUUUUGUUGGCCGCAUUAUUCAAGACGAAUAAAAGUGAAGUUGCUUUUAAUA